ACGCACUGAGGUUCCUGAUUGACGCAGGCCUAGUUGCUAAUUUUAGCCGCUGCCUGUCCGACGGAGGCAGGGUGAGACUGCAGAGAGCCCAUUCAUUGUACCGGGGCGGGACCGACUAUUUUAACGCCGCGAUUGUGAUCCUGCCAAGCCAAAUAUAGUCGUAGACAGGUAUUUUUAGGCACAGAGUGUGUCCCCGUUCUCUCAUCUGGCAAAGCGCGGCGUGUAUUGUAGCGUCUGAAAUGAGCCGCGGCUCUGAAAGUGUAAAGCUGUUUUUCGGCUGGAUAGUUUUACAGUCAGCUGAUAGCAGCCAUACCCCAGAGAGAGGGAGAGGGAGAGAGGGACUGACAGGGGUAAAUCCCAGUAACCCCACAGGUUUCCCGUCACUCCGGGGGAAAGGGUGGAAAAGAGCGUAGAUCCGAAGAUAAAUAGCCGGCAAGUCUUCACACAGACACAGUCAACAGACGCUUGAAAAUAACCACAUUACAGAGCACCAGCUGCACUUCAGCUUUCUGAGCCUCGUCUGAAGGGGGGGAAAAAGAAGAUAAAUAAGUUUACCAUUAGGUAAUUGUCUGCAGCACUCGUCUGGAGCGAGGAACAAACCUGACCACUUAGGUAUCCCAGGAAUCCACUGCAUCAUCACAUUCUGCUCCGAUAACGCUGGAACUGCCCGAUUCCUAUCGCUGUGGAUGUUGCAGCUGUCUUCUUCUCUAAGAUCCCAACAAACCCACACCUCACCCUGAAGCUGCCUGAAGAUUAUGGAUUGAGGAAGGGGACCAUUAUCCAUUCAUUCUGACAUGCCUGGGCUCAAAUGUCUGCAAGCCCUGAAGUGGUUAUCCUGAUUACUGCCGGAGCAUUAAGAGGGAACUCCCUACUGGGAGACGCAGCAGGUUUCUGCUUUUGGGCGUCCCUCACUUGGUCAUCAAACGCGGAUCAAUUUCAGCCGCAUGUCCAUCCAUUUCAUGCUUUACCAACCAGGACUGAGAUCAGGGAGUUUUUAAUGAUGGACGGAGAAACAUUGAUUCUCAAGAAACUACUUAUAGUUCUUUGUUUUACCCUCCGGUGACAGCCUGCUCAGAAAACUGGAGAAAUUUGCCCACAAGUGCCUUCUUUCGUUCCUUCCUACAACUACCCAUCCAUUCGUCCAACCUGUCUACAAAGGCCUGUCAUAACAAAUGAAGGUCCAUCACAAUCGAUGGUAAUUCAGGCAAAACAUUAUAACCACAGUUUGUAGAAGUGCAGCUCAAACCCUAAGUAAAGAUUGACAUUUCUUCAUUUUUGUGACUGUCACAUGUUGAAUUAAUCUCUUACAGAAGAACAGCUCAUAGAAAACUGUUCAAACCAUCAUGUGAACACGGUAAGAAAAUGCCCUCCAUUCAAACUGGCCAAGAAUCCACAGCUCAGGUGGGAGAAUCUGUUGAUUAAAAUCAUAAAUUUCCUCCUGCAUAUCACUUUGAUCCACACUGUGAGACAUGGUAGUGGCAGCAUCAUGCAGCUGUGUUAACCUCUGUCUGUCUUCAGUGGGGCUGAAAACAACCACACGCUUCACUUUUCAUAUUUUUACAGCAAGAAAA